rnacentral:lncRNA from 1 species
AAUCACUAAAUCAACGUAUAACGGUUAAAUCUAAAUUUGAAUUCUAAUAAAAUUACAAAAAGAACUCAAUAAAACUAUCCAUAGAAUAAUAUGAAUAUUUUGUAAGUUUACAAUAUUAAGAAACGAAAAAAUUUCAUAUAUUUAAAUUAGAACUAGAACAAAAAGAGACCUAUGAUAUGAUAUCUCAUCAGAUUCGAUACUUGCCAUAAUAUUUAACCCAAAAUACGCAACUUUUCUUUUAACCGAGACGAUUCCGUUUCUUUCUCCUUCACGCCACUAAAACAAAUCAAACAUUUUCCCCUUAAUCUAGCAGUCUAGCACUAGCAGUCCCUCAUUCAUCGCCUCUCUCUCUCCACACUUCCACAGGUAUUCUCCUUCUCUCUCUAGACUUUUGAAUUUUGAAUUUCCUUUUACUUCAACGUUAAGUCUUCAAUUUCACCACCAAAUUCUCUGUAAAUCUCCAGAUCUGCAUUUGUUUUUUGCAUUGUAAAUUGCUUUGAUUUACUUUAACUUAGUUUUCUGUUGUGUGUUAGGUUUUGAUAGCAAUGGCGACAAUUCGAGUGCUUUCCUUCAUGCUUCUCUUUGCAGUUCUGUUCGUACAACAAUGUAUCUGUGCAGAUCCGCCGGCAAAUUCUCCAAGUCCGCCACCGGAAUCCGGUGCCGAUUUGGCUUCUCCACCAGAGAGUC